rnacentral:rRNA from 1 species
GCUUGACUGUAGCUUGGAAUUGGGUUCGGGCUUUUUUUGCGCAGUCUAGGUGGGAGGCGUUGAAAUUCAAUUUUCGGAUUGGGUGGAGCCGUUAGUGAGAGACCACUCUGAAAAAGCUAGAAUUCUAAUAGGACUCCUUGAAUCAGGAUCCUUGACAGUUUCAGGCGGACAGUUUGACUGGGGCGGUGGCCUCCUAAAAGGUAACGGAGGCGUGCAAAGGUUCCCUCAGGCUGGACGGAAAUCAGCUGUAGAGUGUAAAGGUAGAAGGGAGCUUGACUGCAAGACCAACAAGUCGAGCAGG